rnacentral:lncRNA from 1 species
GGAAGCCCUCGAUUCAAUUAUCUUACAUGUUACCUCAUCCUAUAAUUAUACUUCACCGCCAAAGAUUGCCUUCUACUGCUACUUGAGGAGUGGAUUACAUCUAACCAUUUACCCUAUUUCUCCAUCGCAUGUGUCACAACCUCAAUUUGCAUGUUAGGUUUCUGCACAAUUGCCGGAGAUGCUUCUUUGGAAAUGUAAUUCCUUCGCUAAUUUGCUCUUUA